rnacentral:rRNA from 1 species
AGGUUUAACCUGCCCAUUGAUUUAUAUUUAACGGCCGCAGUAAUUUGACUGUGCAAAGGUAGCAUAAUCAUUAGUUUUUUAAUUGAAAGCUUGUAUGAAUGGUUGGACGAGAUAAAAACUGUUUCUAAGUAAAAAAUAAAAUUUAAUUUUUAAGUUAAAAAGCUUAAAUUUUUAUAAAAGACGAGAAGACCCUAUAGAUCUUUAUAUAAUAAUUUUUGAAAUUAUAAAGGAUUAAUUAAUUUUUUAAAUUUUAUUAUAUUUUAUUGGGGUAAUAAAAAGAUUCAAUUAAUUCUUUUAAAUUUUACAUUAAUUUAUGAAUAUAUGAUCCAUUUUUAAUGAUUAAAAGAUUAAGUUACCUUAGGGAUAACAGCGUAAUUUUUUUUGAGAGUUCUUAUCGAUAAAAAAGUUUGCGACCUCGAUGUUGGAUUAAAAAUUAUUUUAGGCGUAGAAGUUUAAAAUUUUGGUCUGUUCGACCAUUGAAUUUUUACAUGAUCUGAGUUCAGACCGGUGUAAGCCAGGUCGGUUUCUAUCUUUAUUUAAUUAAAAUAUUUUAGUACGAAAGGACCAAAUAUUGAAUAUAUCUAUAUUUUUAUUAUUGAUAAA